rnacentral:rRNA from 1 species
GAUGAACGCUGACAGAAUGCUUAACACAUGCAAGUCGAUGGGGAAGUGGUGCUUGCACCAUGGUAACCAUGGCGGACGGGUGAGUAACGCGUAAGGAACUUGCCUGCGGGACUGGGAUAACAGCAGGAAACUGCUGAUAAUACCGGAUAAGGUCAUUAAGCUGCAUAGCUUAGUGAUGAAAGGAGACGCCUGCGGAGAGCCUUGCGUCCUAUUAGCUAGUUGGAGGGGUAACGGCCCACCAAGGCGAAGAUAGUUAGCCGGCCUGAGAGGGUGGACGGCCACAAGGGGACUGAGAUACGGCCCUUACUCCUACGGGAGGCAGCAGUGGGGAAUAUUGGACAAUGGGGGCAACCCUGAUCCAGCAAUUCUGUGUGCACGAAGACGGUUUUCGGAUUGUAAAGUGCUUUCAGCAGGGAAGAAGGAAGUGACGGUACCUGCAGAAGAAGCGACGGCUAAAUACGUG